rnacentral:rRNA from 1 species
CCCUUAGAUGUUCUGGGCUGCACGCGCGCUACACUGAUACUUUCAGCGAGUCCACCACCUUGCCUGGGAGGGUGGGGUAACCUCUGGAAAGUGCAUCGUGAUGGGGAUCGAUUAUUGUAAUUAUUAAUCUUCAACGAGGAAUUCCUAGUAAGCGCGAGUCAUCAGCUCGCGUUGAUUACGUCCCUGCCCUUUGUACACACCGCCCGUCGCUACUACCGAUUGAAUGGUUUAGUGAGGACUCCUGAUUGGCGCCGCCGCCCCGGCAACGGAGCAGCGGACUGCCGAAAAGUUGUUCAAACUUGAUCAUUUAGAGGAAGUAAAAGUCGUAACA